rnacentral:rRNA from 1 species
UACGUAGGGAGCGAGCGUUGUCCGAAGUUACUGGGCGUAAAGCGCGCGUAGGCGGGUUUGAAAGUCGGAGGUGAAAUGCUGGGGCUCAACUCCAUGCAGUGCCUCCAAUACUUCAAGUCUUGAGUGCGGUAGGGAGAAGUGGAAUGGCUGGUGUAGCGGUGAAAUGCGUAGAUAUCGAUAGGAACUCCGGUGGCGAAGGCGGCAUACUGGACCACCUCUGACGCUGAGGCGCGAAAGCCAGGGGAGCAAACGGG